UCCUGCGGCGGCGGCGCUCAGAGUUUGUGCAGGUCACAGGUGUGUCUGUGCUACCAGGUGUUACCAGGUGUUACCAGGUGAGGGUGCAGGUGUGUCUGUGCUACCAGGUGUUACCAGGUGUUACCAGGUGUUACCAGGUGUUACCAGGUGUUACCAGGUGAGGGUGCAGGUGUGUCUGUGUUACCAGGUGUUACCAGGUGUUACCAGGUGAGGGUGCAGGUGUGUCUGUGCUACCAGGUGUUACCAGGUGUUACCAGGUGUUACCAGGUGUUACCAGGUGAGGGUGCAGGUGUGUCUGUGUUACCAGGUGUUACCAGGUGUUACCAGGUGAGGGUGCAGGUGUGUCUGUGCUACCAGGUGUUACCAGGUGUUACCAGGUGAGGGUGCAGGUGUGUCUGUGCUACCAGGUGUUACCAGGUGAGGGUGCAGGUGUGUCUGUGUUACCAGGUGUUACCAGGUGUUACCAGGUGAGGGUGCAGGUGUGUCUGUGCUACCAGGUGUUACCAGGUGUUACCAGGUGAGGGUGCAGGUGUGUCUGUGCUACCAGGUGUUACCAGGUGUUACCAGGUGUUACCAGGUGUUACCAGGUGAGGGUGCAGGUGUGUCUGUGUUACCAGGUGAGGGUUACC